CUAAUCCAUCUGCCUCUUGUACGUUCAUAGAAGAGAGAUUACUACUCACACUGCUCACUAUAUCACUGUCGUCGUUGGUCACUAAUCCAUUGACCCUUUCCAUAGCGUUAAUAUCUGGGAGACUAGGAAUGAUUCCAGCUUCGGAAAACAUCGUUGCUGCUAGAAAUUCUUCGAUUUGUACAGAUUCAUAUGUGUCUUCGCCAUUCAUUUCCGCCCUUGUCAGAGUGAAAACUGAAUGCGAAACUUCAAAUCGUGUCAAAGUAGGAAAUUUCGUGUCGAAAAACGACACCACUAACAACACUGGCUGUAGCAAGGAGCGAGUCCCUGGUACUGGACCACAUCCCAUACGUAGAACAACCCAUAAACACAACCUUACAUACUGUCGAGGACAGUGAUAUUUCUUUGCGCCCACCAGCUGAAAAGGGUAGGAACUGAACGGUAAUUCAUUAAUGGGUUUACAUAUUUUCAAACUCUACUGUAAUUUAUUUCGCUUUCCUUUUUGUGGUUGUUUGUUUGUUAGUUUGUUAAAACUAAUACACUUCUUCGCUUUCUUUCAUGUCUUCCCCACUUUCACUCUUCACUUUCCUUAUUACUUCGCGGUGUCUUACAAGCCUACACACGCUGCUGUUACUGCUUGGUUGCGCGCAGGCGGGUUUAUUAUGCUUGUCCAUUCCAGGUUAUUUCAAUGUCAUUCUAGGUUUUUUUUUUUGUUUUCUUUCCUUACUGCUAUAUUGUUUUCACACUAUUCUCUAGAACGUGUGUUACUCGUGUGUUUGAUGUAUCUCUGUCUCUGUGUCUCUCUCUUUCUUUUACUCUCUCUUUCUCUGUCACUUUCUCUCUUUCUCUCUCGCUCUCUCUCCCUCUCUUUGUGUAAGUUUAUAAUGAAUUUAUAUUUUGUUGUGUUGUUACUAUCUCUUAUACUUACUUUUUCAAGUUGUAGCCUUUUUUGUGUAUUUAAUGCUCCUCUUCUGCCUUGUGGUACGUUCCCCAUAUCUCGCCAUCUCUACUUCUGCUUCUGCAUCUAUGUGAACUGGAACGCUUUAAAUUGUAUUUCGUUUGACCGGGGGCUGGGGAUGUCUUGCUCUGCUUCCGCAGAAGAGAAGUGGGGUUGGGCGGUAAAGUAAACAAAACGCGGCCUUCCAUUAUUCUUACCACACUCUACUAAUAUCGCUUCUUUCAAUUUGUUUUAAACUGCUUCUCUUUCUUGCCUUCUCCAUCUUCUCCUCCCUCUUAUCUUUUUACCCUACUCUAGGCCUUGGCGGGCUCCCGGGCUUCUUUCGCCACCUGGAUUGGCGUGUUGGUGGACCGCAGCGCAACCGAGACGAGAGAAGCAGAUGGCAAAAACAACUAAAACAUAUUAAAAAAAAAAAAA